rnacentral:rRNA from 1 species
AGUGAACGCUGGCGGUAGGCCUAACACAUGCAAGUCGAACGGCAGCACAGUAAUAGCUUGCUCUUACGGGUGGCGAGUGGCGGACGGGUGAGGAAUACAUCGGAAUCUACUUUUUCGUGGGGGAUAACGUAGGGACACAUACGCUAAUACCGCAGACGACCUACGGGUGAAAGCAUGGGAUCUUAGGACCUCGCGCGAUCCAAUGAGCCGAUGUCGGAUUAGCUAGUUGGCGGGGUAAAGGCCCACCAAGGCGACGAUCCGUAGCUGGUCUGAGAGGAUGAUCAGCCACACUGGAACUGAGACACGGUCCAGACUCCUACGGGAGGCAGCAGUGGGGAAUAUUGGACAAUGGGCGCAAGCCUGAUCCAGCCAUACCGCGUGGGUGAAGAAGGCCUUCGGGUUGUAAAGCCCUUUUGUUGGGAAAGAAAAGCAGCAGGUUAAUACCCCGCUGUUCUGACGGUACCCAAAGAAUAAGCACCGGCUAACUUCGUG